rnacentral:rRNA from 1 species
AGUUCAUUGAACCCUCUCAUCUAGAGGAAGGAGAAGUCGUAACAAGGUCUCCGUAGGUGAACCUGCGGAGGGAUCCAUAGCAAUCGUAUUGAUUGGCGAUCACUCGUGGAGUGGUAUUGUGGUGUUGCGUGGUGAAAACCCGCAUCAUCCGCCAACCCAUCCUUGGCUAGGGCCGGUGACUACUACUACUAUUACAUCGUAUGGUAUUCGUCGGACCCAGGCCUUUCUGCCACGGUGCCCCCGUAGCAAGCGGACACUCGUUGCUGUUGCUGUUGGUGGUCAUCAUCGUCAUGAUGAUGAUCAAUCAGCACAUCAUUAUCGAGGAGACCGUACGGGUGGUACGGGUCGGUGUUCAGGCCACGCUCGAUGUCAUCAUCUUUGUGAUGGCAUCGUCGUGAACAUCCUGGCGCCGGCCGGGAGCUCCACGCUCCGUUUUCAUCGUAUGUAUGGAAACGAGCACGCAGCGUGGGCGGUUUUCCUCCCCGCUGUGGGGGCUCCCACAACAACUAUCCUACAUCCUUUAACCUGUGCAAUAGCUUGAUCGUCUAGCACGUCGAGCAAAAUAACAUAGAAUAACACUGUACAAUGGAUUUCUUGGCUCCCACAUCGAUGAAGAACGCAGCAAAGCGCGAUAGGUAGUGUGAAUUGCAGAAUUCCGUGAAUCAUCGAAUUUUUGAACGCACAUUGCGCCCAAGUCUCCGGACUUGAGCAUGUCUGCCUCAGCGUCGUUUUCAAUGGCUUGCCGUGCAUGGCUCUUGCCUGCGUCAGAAAAGUUACCAUAGAUAAUGAUAAUUUUUACGACCGGCAUGGGCUGAAUUUCUGCAAUCGUACUCGUGCGGGGUUGGUAUCCAACCAACCAUCACACGACAUGCGACAGCAGCCAUCCCCGGCACUGUUCAUCGUAAGCAAGCUACCUCGCGUGGCCUCCUGCUUUCUCAUGGGCAAGUGUGAUCAUCACAUCAACGGGGCAGCGGUGGCAUCUCGGAUGCUGCAUGUUGUCUGGCUGUCGAAACCAUUCGACCUGAGUUCAGGCAGGGUUACCCG